AAAGAAAAACGCAUUAAAUAAAAACUGCAGUAAAGAACAGCCUUUGAUUGUUGCCGCCAUGUUUUAUGUUUGUUAUUUUAUUAUAAAUCCGGACAGUUUCAAAUUUCUAAAGAAGACAAGACAUUGUUCGUUAUUAUCUUGCAGAUUAAACUUUAAAGAAUAAGUUGUUUAAUAUAAGAUGUUUCGACUGCUGGGAUUAAUUUUCAUCCUAGUGGGAAAAACUGGAGCAGCUGAGAAUAAGACUGAGAAGGUUUGUGUUUGCGGGAUAAUGGAUUGGGAUAAAAAUUUAACAGCGCCUCCUCCAUACUGGCCGAGGUUUGAUCCUUACAAAGCCUUGGUUUCUCUUCACGCAAAGUUUCCUAAAUAUUUCAACGAG